rnacentral:rRNA from 1 species
AGGGAAUCUUCCACAAUGGACGAAAGUCUGAUGGAGCAACGCCGCGUGAGUGAAGAAGGUUUUCGGAUCGUAAAGCUCUGUUGUUGGUGAAGAAGGAUAGAGGCAGUAACUGGUCUUUAUUUGACGGUAAUCAACCAGAAAGUCACGGCUAACUACGUGCCAGCAGCCGCGGUAAUACGUAGGUGGCAAGCGUUGUCCGGAUUUAUUGGGCGUAAAGCGAGCGCAGGCGGAAUGAUAAGUCUGAUGUGAAAGCCCACGGCUCAACCGUGGAACUGCAUCGGAAACUGUCAUUCUUGAGUGCAGAAGAGGAGAGUGGAACUCCAUGUGUAGCGGUGGAAUGCGUAGAUAUAUGGAAGAACACCAGUGGCGAAGGCGGCUCUCUGGUCUGCAACUGACGCUGAGGCUCGAAAGCAUGGGUAGCGAACAGGAUUAGAUACCCUGGUAGUCCAUGCCGUAAACGAUGAGCGCUAGGUGUUGGGGAC